CCACUUGGAGGCGCCUUCAGCCAAUUCUUCCACGACUGCCCAAGAGGACAUCUCCCUAAAAAAAGACAUCUCCCUCGGCCCUAGCAGAUUCCACCCCUCCAUCGAUCUUGCCCCAGCGAGGCAGCGACAUGCCGUGGAGGGAUCCCUAGCGCCGCUCCUCCUCCUCUCCAGUUUCCACAUCGGGAUUCCUUCUAAUAAAGAUCCAAGCAGUAUCUUCUUGAUGCCCUUCCUCUCCAACCAUUGAAUCGCCUCUGCCCCAAAGUGCCCUAGCAGGAAACAUACUGUUGCUGCAAUUUUUCUUUUGGCAUGCAAGGGCUGAAGUCUGUUGAAUUCAGGUACUGUUGCUGCCAUUUUUCUUCAUCUAAUUUUCUCUACUAUUUUUCAAAAUGAUACAAUGGAAUUUCAUUAUGUGGUUGCAACCGUGAUAGUAAACUGUCAUAAAAGUUGGGAAAGAAAUGACAUCACUGCUCACAUAACUCAGACUAAAUUCGCUUCUCAUGUUAUUUGAUAGUGUGAUUUUUAUCACAGUGAACACCACCACCACUGCUUGGCCACUUCACCACCUACCUCUAGCCGUUCAGUAACCUACAGGUCAUGCUUUGCAAAUUAUCAGCCUUCGUCGGUUGGUUAUUUGUUGUUUAUUUUGCUCACCACUAUUUCCGUGUUAUUAAUUGGAGAAAGUAUGAUGUAUCGCUUAUCCAUACUGUUGGUGUAGCCCAGACAACGGUCUGUGAUGCAAGAUCCUUGGUUUUCAAAUGAUUGAUCUCCAUGUAAUUCAGAUUUAUGGUGGCAUAAUACGCAUUGAUAUUAACACAUUUCCUCAACUAAGUUUAUGAUUGUCUUCAGUCCCUACAAUAAUUUAUAGUGCAGGCCGCAGAUAUGGUUAGUGCAAUUCCAACUCCAUAGAGAACUUACUGUAAAUGACCGAUUCCGUGGCUUACUCCAUCCAGAGGUUUUGCUUUUUCUUCAGUCAUCCAUACCUCAAACCUGAUAGUGCUUACUAAUUUCGCAAAUAUCUGGUGCAUGUACAUCCCUUCAUAUGAAACCUAUAAAUUACUUUCUUUUAGGAAAUACUCUAAUUGCAGAGAUUUAUUCUUUGUUAAUGGCUUGACUAAUUUGGAUUACUCUUAUAUUUAUUUUCUCUAUCGUGAAUUUUUCGCAGGUACGAGUAAAUAUUGGUUCUUUGACAUUGAUCCUUAAAUUUAAUAGUACUAAUUCAGAAGAUGGGUGCAUAACGAUAUCAUCGGAUUAAUCAAGUACCACAAAUACAAUCAUAAGGGUAGCGACUAAGGUGUGCUUUCCCUUGGUGAUUGUCCGAGGGUAGAUUUUUUAUUUCCGAAUUGGCAAGAAAGGUCCAACUGACAAUAAAAGUCUAUAAUGGUGUUUCCGCAUCUACUAGGAGACUGCUUUUCACUAUUUUCAGUUGACUCCACAUUGUUUCUGUCCUGAACCUGGAAGAUAUAUGCUCCUUAAUGCGCAGCCUGGGUCUUUUCAUUGUAUUUUCGCGAAUAUACAAAGAUUACGUAUCAUUUCAUUGAUACGAGUGAAACAACAAAAUUCGGCAAUGCACAGAGCCGCCGACACGAACCUGCUUGGUGCGCAAUCACAAGAGCAGAACAGAGAAGUGGGUUGCUCAGCCCACAACAUCACCGGCAGGAUCACAUCCUAAAUGUAUUGUAUUUUCUAGAUCCAUAUUAGUACCUACAAAACCUACAUAUUAUAUUCAAGUUUAACCUACUAGAAUUUUUCAAUUGGAUUUUUGUUGCAAUAUUUUUAAAUUUAUCAAGCUUUUAUUUUCAUGAGCACGAACUUUCAACCUGUAGUAUACCUCGACAGGUCAACCCAGAACCAUUAUAUUUGUCUCUUCUAUCUAUAAGACGCCUGCUCAUAUCAUUUAUGUAGAUCUAAAGCUUCAGCCUUUGUGCCAAUAUAUUUUUUAACUGUUGUA